rnacentral:rRNA from 1 species
AACGUAGGAGGCGAGCGUUAUCCGGAGUUACUGGGCGUAAAGCGCGCGUAGGCGGUUCGAUAAGUGGCCUGUGAAAGCGCCCGGCUAAACUGGGCGAGGUCAGGUCAGACUGUCGGGCUGGAGGGUGAUAGAGGAGCGUAGAAUUCCGGGUGUAGCGGUGAAAUGUGUAGAGAUCCGGAGGAAUACCAGUGGUGCAGACGACGCUCUGGGUCACACCUGACGCUGAGGCGCGAAAGCUUGGGGAGCGAACGGG